rnacentral:rRNA from 1 species
AGCGCAGGUGGUUGUAUAAGUCUGAAGUAAAAAGGCAGUGGCUCAACCAUUGUGUGCUUUGGAAACUGUACAACUUGAGUGCAGAAGGGGAGAGUGGAAUUCCAUGUGUAGCGGUGAAAUGCGUAGAUAUAUGGAGGAACACCGGUGGCGAAAGCGGCUCUCUGGUCUGUAACUGACACUGAGGCUGAAAGCGUGGGGAGCAAACA